rnacentral:rRNA from 1 species
AGUGAACGCUGGCGGUAGGCCUAACACAUGCAAGUCGAACGGCAGCACAGGAGAGCUUGCUCUCUGGGUGGCGAGUGGCGGACGGGUGAGGAAUACAUCGGAAUCUACUCUGUCGUGGGGGAUAACGUAGGGAAACUUACGCUAAUACCGCAUACGACCUACGGGUGAAAGCAGGGGAUCUUCGGACCUUGCGCGAUUGAAUGAGCCGAUGCCGGAUUAGCUAGUUGGCGGGGUAAAGGCCCACCAAGGCGACGAUCCGUAGCUGGUCUGAGAGGAUGAUCAGCCGCACUGGAACUGAGACACGGUCCAGACUCCUACGGGAGGCAGCAGUGGGGAAUAUUGGACAAUGGGCGCAAGCCUGAUCCAGCCAUACCGCGUGGGUGAAGAAGGCCUUCGGGUUGUAAAGCCCUUUUGUUGGGAAAGAAAUCCAGCUGGCUAAUACCCGGUUGGGAUGACGGUACCCAAAGAAUAAGCACCGGCUAACUUCGUGCCAGCCGCCGCCGCAG